UAUUUUUGGUUGAAGCCUCGCAUGUUUUAUAGUUGAGGCAAUGAAUACAAUGGCAUCAGCUGUUAUGGAUAUAGUCAACACUACUUUGGAUUGGGUGACAUUCGCAUUUGAGGUUCCUUUUGCUCGAGCUUUUGUUUUUGGAGUGCACAUCCAUGGGCAUCUAUUUGUGGAGGGCCUUCUUGUAGUUGUUAUUUUGUUUUUACUUUCCCAGAAAAGU